GACGAACGCUGGCGGCGUGCUUAACACAUGCAAGUCGAACGGAAAGACCCUGCUUUUGUGGGGUUCUCGAGUGGCGAACGGGUGAGUAACACGUGAGUAACCUGCCCUUGACUUUGGGAUAACUUCAGGAAACUGGGGCUACUACCGGAUAGGAGCUCCUGCUGCGUGGUGGGGGUUGGAAAGUUUCGGCGGUUGGGGAUGGACUCGCGGCUUAUCAGCUUGUUGGUGGGGUAGUGGUUUACCAAGGCUUUGACGGGUAGCCGGCCUGAGAGGGUGACCGGCCACAUUGGGACUGAGAGACGGCCCAGACUCGUAUGGGAGGCAGCAGUGGGGAAUAUUGCACAAUGGGCGGAAGCCUGAGGCAGCAACGCCGCGUGCGGGAUGACGGCCUUCGGGGUGUAAACCGCUGUCGCCUGUGACGAAGCGUGAGUGACGGUAAUGGGUAAAGAAGCACCGGCUAACUACGUG
rnacentral:rRNA from 1 species